rnacentral:rRNA from 1 species
UUCUGACCUCAAAUCAGGUGGGACUACCCGCU